rnacentral:misc_RNA from 1 species
GCAAACUUGGUCAUUUAGAGGAAGUAAAAGUCGUAACAAGGUUUCCGUAGGUGAACCUGCGGAAGGAUCAUUAACGAGUUAGGGUCUCCUCGGCCCGACCUCCCAACCCUCUGUUUAUUGAACCUCUGUUGCUUCGGCGGACCCGUCUCACGACCGCCGGAGGAGUCGCCGCGAGGCACCCUCUGGCCAGCGUCCGCCGGUAGCCAACCACUUGAAACUCUGAAUGAAUCGUGUCAUGGUGUCUAAGUCUAUGAUUAAAUUAAAGCAAAACUUUCAACAACGGAUCUCUUGGUUCUGGCAUCGAUGAAGAACGCAGC